AUGGAGACAGCGGGCUCUGGUACUGGGCAGCCGGCCUCUCUGCUGGAGGCUCCCGGGUCCACGGAUGACCGGCUUUUCCUGGUUAAAGGUGGAAUUUUCCUUGGUACUGUUGCUGCAGCAGGAACGCUAGCUGGAUUUAUUACAACAUUAUCAUUGGCUAAAAAGAAAAGCCCUGAAUGGUUCAAUAAGGGAAGUAUGGUCACGACUGCAUUACCGGAAAGCGGGUCUUCCCUUGCCUUGCGAGCUCUGGGCUGCGGCUCACUGUAUGCAUGGUGUGGGGUUGGUGUGAUUAGCUUCUCAGUCUGGAAAGCUUUAGGGGUUCACAGU
rnacentral:lncRNA from 1 species